UCGUUCCGACCUGGGCAAUUGGGCUAUCUCAGCUUCAUUCAGGGCAUUCAACUUGCGAGCCAGCGAGUAAUCUUUUUCGUUCGUGAACAUGUGCUGUCCGAACAUGGCAAAAUACGGCGAAGUUCCGGUGCUGCUAUGUAUGGAUGACCUCAGCGACGCUUGUAUGUCCGCAUAUUCUCGAAUUCCUUGGAUACAAACUGUCUUCCGUUGUCCGUGUGGAUUGUUUCCGGAACUCCGAAUUGGGUGAAUAUUCCUUCUUGCAGGAAUUGGAUUACAGCUGUCGAUGUGGCCUUCGGCAUCGCUUUUAGCCACACAAACUUGGUCAAGUGGUCUAAUGCGAUAAAUAGCAUGGUAUUUCCUCGGCGAGACCGCGGAUAUUUUCCUAAGAAAUCCAGUUUUCGCAGGCUGCUACAAAGUCCCGGACUUGAACUACCAUUUUGGGCCAGUAAUACAUCUGCUGAAGUCUCGCCAAGGUCUUUGCCAUACCCCCAUGCAUCGCCGUGUCGCCGCCGUGGGCUUGCUGGAUUAGAGUUGUCGUCAAUGCUUCCGGAAUCCACAGUUUCCAUUCAAAUUCCCCACUUUCCUCUCUAUUGAAGUGUGUCUUCUUGAAUAGAAGUCCUUCUUCUACACGUAAGUCCGGAAAUUUAUCUCUUCCUUGCUCUUCAACCAACUGCAGUCUUUCCAGGUAUUCAGGACUCUCAAAUUCAGUUGUUUCAAACUCGAAGAACUCUACUUCGGCGGUUUCAUUCGGCCGAGAUAGCAUGUCGGCCACGAUGUUGUCUUUCCCUUUCCGAUGUUGUUGAAGUAUUUAUGUU